rnacentral:rRNA from 1 species
AGCGAACGCUGGCGGCAGGCCUAACACAUGCAAGUCGAACGAACCCCUCGGGGUUAGUGGCGGACGGGUGAGUAACACGUGGGAACGUGCCUUUAGGUUCGGAAUAACUCAGGGAAACUUGUGCCAAUACCGAAUGUGCUCCCCGGGGGAACGUGUUAGUGCCGUUAGAGCGGCCCCCGGCGGUUUAGCUAGUUGGUGAGGUAAUGGCUCACGAAGGCUACGAUCAGUAGCUGGUCUGAGAGGAUGACCAGCCACACUGGGACUGAGACGCGGCCGAAACUACUACGGGAGGCAGCAGGGGGGAAUCUUGCGCAAUGGGCGAAAGCCUGACGCAGCCAUGCCGCGUGGAUGAUGAAGGUCUUAGGAUUGUAAAAUCCUUUCACCGGUGAAGAUAAUGACUGUAGCCGGAGAAGAAGCCCCGGCUAACUUCGUGCCAGCAGCCGCCGUAAAAC